CUGCACAUGUAAAACAAAACUUUGAUCGAGACAAUUAAUCUUAAGCAAUUAACCAAGUUGUCCGGCAUGUCAUUGGUCCCUCGACGCUUCGUCCGAUUCUUCGGCGCAUCAUCCUCUCGUGCGGCCUAUUGCCCAAUCGGCCAGUUGACUCCGCAACUCCGAUAUCCUUAGCACAAUACCCGCUCUUCUUGGCCCGAUGCC
rnacentral:lncRNA from 1 species